rnacentral:rRNA from 1 species
AGGGCACCACCAGGAGUGGAGCCUGCGGCUUAAUUUGACUCAACACGGGAAAACUCACCCGGCCCGGACACUGGAAGGAUUGACAGAUUGAGAGCUCUUUCUUGAUUCAGUGGGUGGUGGUGCAUGGCCGUUCUUAGUUGGUGGAGUGAUUUGUCUGGUUAAUUCCGAUAACGAACGAGACUCUAGCCUACUAAAUAGAUCGUCGGCUUACAAACGCCAACGAGACUUCUUAGAGGGACAGGCGGUGAUUCAACCGCACGAAACAGAGCAAUAACAGGUCUGUGAUGCCCUUAGAUGUCCGGGGCCGCACGCGCGCUACACUGAAGUGAUCAGCGUGCUUUUGUCAACCUACUCUGUCAAGAGUGGGGAACCCAAUGAACCUUCUUCGUGAUUGGGAUAGGGGAUUGUAAUUAUUCCCCUUGAACGAGGAAUUCCCAGUAAGCGCGAGUCAUAAGCUCGCGUUGAUUACGUCCCUGCCCUUUGUACACACCGCCCGUCGCUACUACCGAUUGAAUGUUU